rnacentral:rRNA from 1 species
ACUCGUAGACUCCUACGGGAGGCAGCAGUAGGGAAUAUUGGUCAAGUGGGGCAACCCUGAACCAGCCAUCCCGCGUGCAGGAAGACUGUCCUAUGGAUUGUAAACGCUUUAUACAGGAAGAACAUCCCGGAUGCGUUCGGGACUGACGGUAUUGUAUGAAUAAGCACCGGCUAACUCCGUGCCAGCAGCCGCGGUAAUACGGAGGGUGCAAGCGUUAUCCGGAUUUACUGGGUUUAAAGGGUGCGUAGGCGGGCUAAUAAGUCAGUGGUGAAAUCCUACCGCUUAACGGUAGAACUGCCAUUGAAACUGUUAGUCUAGAGUUUGGUUUAGGUAAGCGGAAUACAGCAUGUAGCGGUGAAAUGCAUAGAUAUGCUGUAGAACACCAAUAGCGAAGGCAGCUUACCGAGCCAAUACUGACGCUGAUUCACGAAAGCGUGGGUAGCGAACAGGAUUAGAUACCCUGGUAG